UAUGUGAUCGUCUCUCGCAUAUCAAUAAGCGGAGGAAAAGAAACUAACAAGGAUUCCCCUAGUAACGGCGAGUGAAGCGGGAAGAGCUCAAAUUUGAAAUCUUAAAGGGUUUCCCUUUACGAAUUGUAGUUUAAAGAAGUGUUUCUGUUGAGGUUUUGGUAAAAGUUCUUUGGAAUAGGACAUCAUAGAGGGUGAGAAUCCCGUAUUUGACCUUUACUUUCAACUUUGUGAUACACUUUCAGAGAGUCGGAUUGUUUGGGAAUGCAGUCCAAAAUGGGUGGUAAAUUUCAUCCUAAAGCUAAAUAUUGGCGAGAGACCGAUAGCGAACAAGUACCAGUGAGGGAAAGAUGAAAAGAACUUUGAAAAGAGAGUUAAACAGUACGUGAAAUUGUCAAAAGGGAAGCGUUUGACACCAGUGGUUGUGUGUUUUCUGAAAAUCAAUUAAAGAACUGUUUAUGCUAAGUUGUUUAGACUUUAUCAGCUAACUGUUUAGUUUUGAGCUUUUCUUUAAUGCACUUUUCAGUUAACAAGUCAACAUCAAUUUCUUUUGCUGUAAAAAAGCUUGAGGAAGGUGGCUUGAGAUUCGUCUUAAGUGUUUAUAGCCUCUUGCCUAUGCAGUCGGAGAGAUUGAGGUCUGCAACGUAGAUCCUUCGGGGCUAAAUGCAUUUGUGCUAAGUUAUAGCAUUUUAUAGACAACUUGUUGACUAUGACUUGUCUUGUAGCUUACUCGCUUAUGUUAUUUUACCUACGCUUAGGAUGUUGAACGCGCACAGAGUCUC
rnacentral:rRNA from 1 species